rnacentral:rRNA from 1 species
UGCCUUACACAUGCAAGUCGAACGGCAGCACGGGAGCCAAUCCUGGUGGCGAGUGGCGAACGGGUGAGUAAUAUAUCGGAACGUGCCCAGUCGUGGGGGAUAACGUAGCGAAAGCUACGCUAAUACCGCAUACGAUCUAUGGAUGAAAGCGGGGGAUCGCAAGACCUCGCGCGAUUGGAGCGGCCGAUAUCAGAUUAGGUAGUUGGUGAGGUAAAGGCUCAUCAAGCCGACGAUCUGUAGCUGGUCUGAGAGGACGACCAGCCACACUGGGACUGAGACACGGCCCAGACUCCUACGGGAGGCAGCAGUGGGGAAUUUUGGACAAUGGGCGCAAGCCUGAUCCAGCAAUGCCGCGUGCAGGAUGAAGGCCUUCGGGUUGUAAACUGCUUUUGUACGGAACGAAAAGGUUUGUCUUAAUACGAUGAGCUCAUGACGGUACCGUAAGAAUAAGCACCGGCUAACUACGUG